CGCUAGAAAGCUAGCCCACACACCCAAAAACAACAAAUCACUGUUUAUACCCCCAAACAAAUUAGUUAACCAAUCAACAAAUCAUUUUUCCCCCUUAGUAUAGGCGAUAGAAAAGGAACACAGGAGCUAUAGAAAAAGUACCGCAAGGGAAAGCUGAAAUAGAAAUGAAACAACCCAGCCAAGCACAAAACAGCAGAGAUUCUAACUCGUACCUUUUGCAUCAUGAAUUAGCUAGUAAAAUUCAAGCAAAGUGCACUUUAGUUUGCCUUCCCGAAACUAAGUGAGCUACUCCAAGAUAGCCUAGUAAUAGGGCGAACCCGUCUCUGUGGCAAAAGAGUGGGAAAAGCUUCGAGUAGUGGUGACAGACCUAUCGAACUUAGUUAUAGCUGGUUGCCUGAGACCUGGAUAGAAGUUCAGCCUCCCCGCUUCUCCCCUCACACCUAAUCUUAGCCUUUAGACACCUUAAAGAAACGAGGAGAGUUAGUUAAAGGGGGUACAGCCCCUUUAACAUAAGAUACAACUUUUUUAGCAGGGAAAAGAUCAUAAUUUAAACAAGGAACAAUGUCUUGGUGGGCCUAAAAGCAGCCAUCCUUACAGAAAGCGUUAAAGCUCAGACAUACCCCUCCCUCCCCCUAUUCUGAUUACUUAAUCUUAACCCCCUGAUCCCUAUCAGGCCCUUCUAUGCUAACAUAGAAGAGAUCAUGCUAGUAUGAGUAAUAAGAGAGCACUUAGACUCUCUCCUCGCAUAAGUGUAAAUCGGAAUGGACAACCCACCGAACCUUAACGGCCCCAAACAAAGAGGGUAAUGGAUAAUAAACCAAACAACCAGAAAACCAUCCAACUAAGCCUAACCGUUAACCCUACACUGGUAUGCUUUCAAGGAAAGACUAAAAGAAAGAAAAGGAACUCGGCAAACACAUCAAGCCUCGCCUGUUUACCAAAAACAUCGCCUCUUGCAAAAUUAACGAAUAAGAGGUCCCGCCUGCCCUGUGACUAUAUGUUUAACGGCCGCGGUAUUUUGACCGUGCAAAGGUAGCGCAAUCACUUGUCUUUUAAAUGGAGACCCGUAUGAAUGGCAAAACGAGGGCUUAGCUGUCUCUUCUUUCAAGUCAAUGAAAUUGAUCUCCCCGUGCAGAAGCGGGGAUGCGUACAUAAGACGAGAAGACCCUGCGGAGCUUUAGGCACCAAGGCAGAAUAUGUAAAGCACCCCAAGCUAACGAUUAAAACAACUUAUAACCUGCCCUAAUGCCUUCGGUUGGGGCGACCGUGGGGAAAUGAAAAACCCCCAUGUGGAAUGGGAGCACAGCUCCUACAAUCAAGAGCCCCCGCUCUAAUCAACAGAACCUCUGACUAACAAGAUCCGGCAAUGCCGAUCAACGGACCAAGUUACCCCAGGGAUAACAGCGCAAUCCCCUUUUAGAGCCCAUAUCGACAAGGGGGUUUACGACCUCGAUGUUGGAUCAGGACAUCCUAAUGGUGCAGCCGCUAUUAAGGGUUCGUUUGUUCAACGAUUAAAGUCCUACGUGAUCUGAGUUCAGACCGGAGUAAUCCAGGUCAGUUUCCAUCUAUGACAUGAUCUUCCCCAGUACGAAAGGAACGGAAAGAUGAAGCCCAUGCUUAAAGCACGCCUCUCUCCUACCUAUUGAUCCCAACUCAAAUAGAUAAAGGAGCAUACACCUUCCCGCUUCCACCGAAGAAAAUGGAAU
rnacentral:rRNA from 1 species